CCCCUCCAGGCCCCGCCCCCAGCUCGCGGGCUCCAGCCACCAGCCCCCCUCCCCUCUUUCCCGUCACGUGACGGCGCUCGGAGGCGGCCGCGGAGACGCCUCCCCGGCGGGCCGGGAGGGAGUCGCGCGGGAACAACUGUCAACACCUAGUUGUGCCAGAGUCUUAUCGCAUCCGAAUUGCCUCCGCACACCCGAGGGCGGCUUCGGGAUUCGAGCCCACCGCCGCCCGCCCGUGAUCUACUGAGGCGUGGUCUGGACCGGUCUGCAGGGCCCUGCCUAACCUGAGAAGACUGCACAAUAGAGCUCACUGGUCCGAGGAACUCUCCCCGCCCACCGCUGGUGAUGAGAGGAAAAGAAUAGAAAUGCCAAUCGCCAGAGGAAAGAAAGUAACAAUACAGAAAUGAAGGAAGUAGAAAAGCAGAAAGAUCAUAAUCAAACCCUGCUAACCAUGCAAGCACAUGAGAAAGUUUUCUCAGUUUUGAAUGAUAUUCACAUUGGAAACAAACAGCCAGGAUUAUGCAAAUUAUUGUCUAGUCUGACUACCUAUAACUGCUAUCAACCAGACUCAAAAAAAAGUCAAUGCAAGUUCAUGAAAGUGAAGAUAUUAUGGGACAACAAAUGUUCCCAUUUUACAGAUGAGGAGGCUUGAGGCGAAGAGUGAUCAAGUAACUUGUCCAAGCUCAUACAGGAGUGGAAGCCUGAUGUGGGAGCAUUUAAUAUCCUCUCAAGCAGGAUACCACACUGCCUGUCCAGCAUAGCUUGCCUCCAGUCAAGUGCUUGCAGACCCAUCUGAAGAAAGACCAAUAACACACCGUUGGGGGAUAGAAGGCAGGUACAGAAAAGUGAACAGAAGAUGAAAUACUCUGCUCUCAAACAGAAACUGACUGGAAACCAAACUGGAUUCAGAUAUGGAGGAAAGGAAGUAAAAACGUCAUCCACACUGUAUCACAGCAAAUAGAAGGUCUGUCAGAGCUAUCCAAGCCUGAGCGAGAGGAAAAGAAAUGGCAUGCAAAUCAUAAGAGACUCUUAAGUAGAGAACAGACUGAGGGUUGAUGGGGAAAAUGGGUGAUGGGCAUUGAGGAGGGCACUUGUUGGGAUGAGCACUGGGUGUUGUAUGUAAGUGAUGAAUCAUGGGAAUCUACUCCCCAAACCAAGAGCACACUGUAUACACUGUAUGUUAGCCAACUUGACAAUAAAUUACAUUUAGGAAAAGAAAAAAAAAUUAAAAAUGGGGGAAGGAAAGGAGUUCUACUGUGGGUAAAAUGGUAUCAAACAGCAUUGUGUGUGACAGAGAAAUCAUUCAUGAAAUGAAGAGUCAAUGCAGGAAACUUCACUGUUGUCUUAUUUUAAGAAGUUGCCACAGCCACCCCAGCCUUCAGCAGCCACCACCCAAGAUCAUUCAGCAGCCAUCAAAAUCAAAGCAAGACCCUCCACCAAAACAAAAGAUUAUGUCUGCUUGAAAGCUCGGAUGAUAGCAUUUUUUAGCAAUAGUUUUUUUUUUAAUCCAGAUAAGAAAAAGAAAAAUGAAAAGAAAUGGCAUGGCUACCACGUAAGCAUGUUGUAGUAUGUAACUUUCAUCAGGUCACAGAAUUAAGAUUGUAGAAUUGGAAUUCAAACCCAGGUGGUCUGACUAGCCUGGAAAAAUCUGGAUAGAAGAAUGUUUGAUUUACUAAACCGUUUUCCUAAAUGAGAUAAAGCCAUUGAGCCAGCUGUAGUUAGAUUUCCAACUCUGUUUGAUUCUUCGGUGUAAAUAAGCCAAUGAGAGAAAAGCCCCUACAUCUGAUCUCAUAACCUUAGGGGACAUGAAUCAAUGAGGAUCUCUUCUACAAUGAUGGACCAGAGCUUGGGGAAGAGUCAGGAAUAGCAGUGCUGAGGAGCAUUAUUGACACGGCCUGGUCACAGUCUAGUCCUACAAUAGCUACCAUACAUGCAUACUGUCCUAAUGAAGUCCUGCUGUAAAAGAUUGCUUCUUUUAAUAUCUUCUUGAACAGGAACCUUGGCAGGGGUCCAGCAUAGUGAGUCAAGACACUAUUAGCACAACUGUUGCCCUUUCCAUUACAAAGUUAAACAUGCCUAAAAUAUGAGAAUCCUGUCCUAGAAUCUGGGUGACAAGAGAGUGGAUGUCAUAGUUGGGACCAUUUCCUUCACGCACCACCACAACAAAAGCCCUAUUCUUUUCUUAAGACAAAGUGUAAAGAGCACCCAAUCUGUUCCUAGCAUGGGUUUGAUCUCUAGUCUUGUAGUCCAGCAGUCAUUCUGAAAAACAUAAAUGACAUGAACAUAAUGGCAGCAUACAGGGGGCAAGCAGAGGGUAGGUAGAGAUGUAGAAAAGAUGUGGAAGAUUACUGAAACCAUGUAUUGACUUUUCCAUAUUUCCCCUAAUUUAGACAGAGGGCUGGGGCACAAAGCUUCUCUCAACUGCUUUCAUUGCCUUACGGUAGCAAUGUAAAAGAUGUAUUUCCAAUAAGAAUUAACUUCAUCUCCUCUUCAAGUUGUGACUAAUUGUACUGAAUGAGAGACCCUGGGUAUUGCAAGGGCUCUGAUCUGUGAGGCUCCUGGGUACUCAACACGCUUUCACAAGGGAAUUUUGUCUUCAACGAGUGCACUCACUCCCCACAAUCUCCCAUUUCCUGGCAGCAGGACACUUUCUAAGUUCAGAUCCAGCAAUCUAUACUCUUGCUCCCUGGACAAUCCUUUCUCCUUCUCUCCCCCGCCCCCCCUUCAUUAUACACAUUGUUGUUUCAAAUCCUCAUUAUUUUUAAACACAAAGUUCCAUUGUCUUUCUCGUUGAUGGCUCUUGAGGGCCGACCCAAGUGACUAGUACUGAUUCCCUUCUCUUUAGGGAUGUGACCAGCUCAGUUUUUAAACAUUCCCUGGAAAGGAAGAAUUUGCACACCACACCUCCCUCCUUCCCCCCAAUAACAAACAUUGGGGGGUUUGUUACACAUUCCUUUUAAGGGAGUAAAACUUAGCGGAAAAAAAACUGUUCUAUGAAAUCAAA